rnacentral:rRNA from 1 species
UGGGGAAUUUUGGACAAUGGGCGAAAGCCUGAUCCAGCAAUGCCGCGUGUGUGAAGAAGGCCUUCGGGUUGUAAAGCACUUUUGUCCGGAAAGAAAUCCUUGGCUCUAAUGCAGUCGGGGGAUGACGGUACCGGAAGAAUAAGCACCGGCUAACUACGUGCCAGCGGCCGCGGUAAUACGUAGGGUGCAAGCGUUAAUCGGAAUUACUGGGCGUAAAGCGUGCGCAGGCGGUUUGCUAAGACCGAUGUGAAAUCCCCGGGCUCAACCUGGGAACUGCAUUGGUGACUGGCAGGCUAGAGUAUGGCAGAGGGGGGUAGAAUUCCACGUGUAGCAGUGAAAUGCGUAGAGAUGUGGAGGAAUACCGAUGGCGAAGGCAGCCCCCUGGGCCAAUACUGACGCUCAUGCACGAAAGCGUGGGGAGCAAACAGGAUUAGAUACCCUGGUAGUCCACGCCCUAAACGAUGUCAACUAGUUGUUGGGGAUUCAUUUCCUUAGUAACGUAGCUAACGCGUGAAGUUGACCGCCUGGGGAGUACGGUCGCAAGAUUAAAACUUAAAGGAAUUGACGGGG